ACCAAAACCUAAGCUAGGAAGGAGAGGCAGUAAGAAACAGGCGGAUCACACAGGAGCCGUGGUUUAGCGAAAUACCAAUUGCCGCCUUAGGAAUUACCCUCCCUUUUAAAUUAAGAAGAAGAGAAGAAGGAUUUUAGUUGAAUUGAACAUUUGUGCGUAAAACCCUAAUUAACUGAGCGAGGAUGGAGGAAAGUAGAGCGAAACCGGUGUGUGCAGAAGAAGCCCUCGCACUUCUUAAUUGCGUCACUCAGUCUCCCUAUGAAGAAGACAAAUUCCUUCGCCUUUUGCAUUCAUUGCGCCACUGCGUCCUCGUCAAGAAAGUGAAGAACUUUUCCCUAGCUGGACAGGAAAAAUAGGAAACUAAACCCAGUGGCAAGAAGGCUUAAUUGGUAUGACUGCAUCCCAAGUGCCUUCUAAUUCAAAUAUUCAUGUACCAGAAACUGUUCAGUUUCAAAUCUGAAUUUCUACCAUCCACAAAUAAUUGAUUUUAACAUAUUUUUUUUGGUUAAGUGUAAAGUUGAAUGGGAGGUGAAAUCAAUGGCUUGCAUCUCUCAUCAUCGGAUGUUAUGCUCGUUUUGCCCGUUCCUAACCACCUUAAUCAUAGCUGUGGCGUGGGGUUAAUGUGGCCUAAGAUUUCCCCUUUACCCUGUUCGACUUAAACACUGAAUCCCUUUGCGAGAUGCAAUGGAAUGUAUGACUUGUUACAGUGUAUUGUAUGUGUUUCUACCUAACUAUGAAUACAACUUCCAGCAUUCUAAUGGGUGGACUUCUGUCUGUUCGAGAACCUUGAUCGUUAUGGGAGAAGACAAAAAUAUUCCAUCUUUGGUUGAUGAUA